rnacentral:rRNA from 1 species
GACGAACGCUGGCGGCGUGCUUAACACAUGCAAGUCGAACGAAGAGCGAUGGACGCUUGCUUCUAUCAAUCUUAGUGGCGCACGGGUGAGUAACGCGUAAUCAACCUGCCCUUCAGAGGGGGACAACAGUUGGAAACGACUGCUAAUACCGCAUACGAUCUAACCUCGGCAUCGAGGAAAGAUGAAAGGUGGCCUCUAUGUAUAAGCUAUCACUGAAGGAGGGGAUUGCGUCUGAUUAGCUAGUUGGAGGGGUAACGGCCCACCAAGGCGAUGAUCAGUAGCCGGUCUGAGAGGAUGGACGGCCACAUUGGGACUGAGACACGGCCCAGACUCCUACGGGAGGCAGCAGUGGGGAAUCUUCCGCAAUGGACGAAAGUCUGACGGAGCAACGCCGCGUGAGUGAUGACGGCCUUCGGGUUGUAAAGCUCUGUUAAUCGGGACGAAAGGCCUUCUUGCGAAUAGUGAGAAGGAUUGACGGUACCGGAAUAGAAAGCCACGGCUAACUACGUG